rnacentral:ncRNA from 2 species
UACAGAGGUCCCAAGCGUUGUUCGGAUUCACUGGGCGUAAAGGGUGCGUAGGUGGUGAGGUAAGUCGGAUGUGAAAUCUCCGGGCUCAACCCGGAAAUGGCAUUGGAAACUACCUUGCUUGAGGAUUUGAGGGGGGAUUGGAAUACUUGGUGUAGCAGUGAAAUGCGUAGAUAUCAAGUGGAACACCAGUGGCGAAGGCGAAUCCCUGGAAAAUACCUGACACUGAGGCACGAAAGCUAGGGGAGCAAACAGG